GGGCCAGACUCCUACGGGAGGCAGCAGUGGGGAAUAUUGCACAAUGGGGGAAACCCUGAUGCAGCGACGCCGCGUGAGUGAAGAAGUAUUUAGGUAUGUAAAGCUCUAUCAGCAGGGAAGAAAAUGACGGUACCUGACUAAGAAGCCCCGGCUAACUACGUGCCAGCAGCCGCGGUAAUACGUAGGGGGCAAGCGUUAUCCGGAUUUACUGGGUGUAAAGGGAGCGUAGACGGCAUGGCAAGUCAGAUGUGAAAGCCCGGGGCUCAACCCCGGGACUGCAUUUGAAACUGUCAGGCUGGAGUGCAGGAGAGGUAAGUGGAAUUCCUAGUGUAGCGGUGAAAUGCGUAGAUAUUAGGAGGAACACCAGUGGCGAAGGCGGCUUGCUGGACUGUAACUGACGUUGAGGCUCGAAAGCGUGGGGAGCAAACAGGAUUAGAUACCCCCGUA
rnacentral:rRNA from 1 species